rnacentral:rRNA from 1 species
UCGGUAUGUACUGGCUUUACUGAUUCCUCCUUCUUGACGAACUGUGAUGUCAUUAAUUUGGUGUUGCGGGAAAUCAGAACUGUUACUUUGAAAAAAUUAGAGUGUUUAAAGCAGGCUAACGCUUGAAUACAUUAGCAUGGAAUAAUGAAAUAGGACGUCAAUCCUAUUUUGUUGGUUUCUAGGAUCGACGUAAUGAUUAAUAGGGAUAGUUGGGGGCAUUAGUAUUCAAUUGUCAGAGGUGAAAUUCUUGGAUUUAUUGAAGACUAACUACUGCGAAAGCAUUUGCCAAGGAUGUUUUCAUUAAUCAAGAACGAAAGUUAGGGGAUCGAAAACGAUCAGAUACCGUCGUAGUCUUAACCAUAAACUAUGCCGACAAGGGAUCGGAUGAUUUUUUUUU